rnacentral:rRNA from 1 species
CCUACGGGUGGCAGCAGUGAGGAAUAUUGGUCAAUGGACGGAAGUCUGAACCAGCCAAGUCGCGUGAGGGAAGACGGCUCUAUGAGUUGUAAACUGCUUUUGUACGAGGGUAAAGCUGAGUCCGCGUAUUCGGCGGAAAGUACCGGACGAAAAAGGAUCGGCUAACUCCGUGCCAGCAGCCGCGGUAAUACGGAGGAUUCAAGCGUUAUCCGGAUUUAUUGGGUUUAAAGGGUGCGUGGGCGGGUUGUUAAGUUAGGGGUAAAAUGUCGGGGUUAAAACCCGGACCGCCCUGGAUACCGGGGGUCGUGAGUGGCGGAGCAGUAGGCGGAAUGUGUGGUGUAGCGGUGAAAUGCAUAGAGAUCAUGCAGAACCCCGAUUGCGAAGGCAGCGUACCGGCCGAUCACUGACGCUGAGGCACGAAAGCGCGGGUAUCGAACAGGAUUAGAUACCCCGGUAGUC